rnacentral:lncRNA from 10 species
GCCCGGACUCGCGUGAGUGCGCGUGCGUUGGGGCCUCAGCCUUUAUCUCCACUCUGCGGAGAUUCACGCCUGGAAAACGCUCUUCUGAGAGGAUCUGUGGAGGUCAACCCAGGAGAGAGAAGACAGGACUGAAGCACUGAAAGGGUCCUGCCGUUAAGGGCGCAGGAUUGUAUAGAAUAUAUAAUAGCAGUAGCAGCUCUGUUUACGGAGCAUUAACCUUACGUGGAGUUAUUUCCUGCAUUUCCUCCUUUCGUCUUUACAAGGUAGCCGUUUGGCGUCGUGAGGUAUGGAUGUUCCCAUCCCUAAUUUGCAAAAUAGGUAACUGAGGCUCAGGAGAGCUAGACUAGUUUGUGCACAGCCGAGAAGUGGUCAAGCUAGAAUGGGACCCCAGGUUUGUGCUCCCUACUCUCCACCGAUAACCUAUCAAAGGGCUUUGCAAGAGCUUUUGACUAAUCGUCUGUCAAUGGUUCUUCAUUCACGUAUUAAUUGCACAUCAGUAUGUGCCAAAUCUACUAGACAUUGGAGAAACAGUAGGAACAACACAUGGUACCGGCACAUGGAUCUUUCAGGAAAACGAAGUAGGUAAUAAACAGGAAAAAGCCCGAGUCUGAUGCUAAGAAGAACAUAAACAGGAUGCUGAGAGAUUGGGUCUCUCCACAUUGCCCCGGCUGCUCUCCAACCCCUGAGUUCAAGUGAUUCACCUCCCUUGGCCUCCCAAAGUACUGGGAUUACAGGCGUGAGCCACCGUGCCUGGCUGAGAAGAUGGAUUUAAGACAUAUUUUGGAGCGGAAAGUGACCAGAAGAGGUGUGCAGUUUCCAGGCCUGGCCCAUACAGACCUCCAACAGGUGCUCCCCUGUGCUGUUACUCCUUCUGCCAACUGGAAGCAGAUGGUGACCAGGCUCUGGAGAAGGCAAGGCCUGAAGAUGGGAGAUUCCUAAGUGGAGGAGAACUGUGCCUUACUGACCUAAAUAUCCACUCAGUAUUGUUAUGUGAGAAUAAAUAAACUUGUGUUGAC